rnacentral:rRNA from 1 species
ACAAGACGGUGGAGCAUGUGGUUUAAUUCGAAGCAACGCGAAGAACCUUACCAGGUCUUGACAUCCCGAUGCUAUUUCUAGAGAUAGAAAGUUACUUCGGUACAUCGGUGACAGGUGGUGCAUGGUUGUCGUCAGCUCGUGUCGUGAGAUGUUGGGUUAAGUCCCGCAACGAGCGCAACCCCUAUUGUUAGUUGCCAUCAUUCAGUUGGGCACUCUAGCGAGACUGCCGGUAAUAAACCGGAGGAAGUGGGAUGACGUCAAAUCAUCAUGCCCCUUAUGACCUGGGCUACACACGUGCUACAAUGGUUGGUACAACGAGUUGCGAGUCGGUGACGGCGAGCUAAUCUCUUAAAGCCAAUCUCAGUUCGGAUUGUAGGCUGCAACUCGCCUACAUGAAGUCGGAAUCGCUAGUAAUCGCGGAUCAGCACGCCGCGGUGAAUACGUUCCCGGGCCUU